rnacentral:rRNA from 1 species
AUUGAACGCUGGCGGCAGGCCUAACACAUGCAAGUCGAGCGGAUGAAGGGAGCUUGCUCCUGGAUUCAGCGGCGGACGGGUGAGUAAUGCCUAGGAAUCUGCCUGGUAGUGGGGGAUAACGUCCGGAAACGGGCGCUAAUACCGCAUACGUCCUGAGGGAGAAAGUGGGGGAUCUUCGGACCCCACGCUAUCAGAUGAGCCUAGGUCGGAUUAGCUAGUUGGUGGGGUAAAGGCCUACCAAGGCGACGAUCCGUAACUGGUCUGAGAGGAUGAUCAGUCACACUGGAACUGAGACACGGCCCAGACUCCUACGGGAGGCAGCAGUGGGGAAUAUUGGAAGAUGGGCGAAAGCCUGAUCCAGCCAUGCCGCGUGUGUGAAGAAGGUCUUCGGAUUGGAAAGCACUUUAAGGUUGGAGGAAGGGCAGUAAGUUAAUACCUUGCUUUUUUGACGUUACCAACAGAAUAAGCACCGGCUAACUUCGUG